UCUCGGUCAUUAAUUAAUUUUUUUGAUAAUGUUGUUGCAAGGAUUAUAACAAUUAUUGGAAUAAUAAAUCUAAUAAAAAUUCUUGUAGAUAAGAUUAGGAUUGUUUUUCUUGAUUUAUAUCAAGCUUUUUGAUUGGAAGUCAAAUGUACUAUUUAUACUAGAAAAACAAUUAUCUACCUCAUCAAUAAAUAGAAAUAUAUAAGAAUAAUCAUACUACGUCUACAAAGUGUCAGUAUCAUGCUGCUGCUUCAAACCCAAAGUGGUGUCUUGGUGAGAAUUGAUUUAUUGAAUGUCGAAUAGACAUGUUGAUAAGAAAAUUGUUCCGAUAAUUACAUGUAGACCAUGAAAUCCUGUUGCAACAAAGAAUGUUGAUCCAUAAACUGCAUCUGCAAUGGUGAAGGGUGCUUCUCAAUAUUCAUAUGCUUGAAGUAUAGUGAAGUAUAGUCCUAGUAGUACUGUGAAGAAUAAUCCUUGUAAUGCUUGAGUAUGAUUAGAUUCUAUUAGACUAUGAUGUGCUCAUGUUACUGUUA